rnacentral:rRNA from 1 species
AUUGAACGCUGGCGGCAUGCCUUACACAUGCAAGUCGAACGGUAACAGGUCUUCGGAUGCUGACGAGUGGCGAACGGGUGAGUAAUGCAUCGGAACGUGCCCAGUAGUGGGGGAUAGCCCGGCGAAAGCCGGAUUAAUACCGCAUACGACCUGAGGGUGAAAGGGGGGGAUCGCAAGACCUCUCGCUAUUGGAGCGGCCGAUGUCAGAUUAGCUAGUUGGUGGGGUAAAGGCCUACCAAGGCAACGAUCUGUAGUUGGUCUGAGAGGACGACCAGCCACGCUGGGACUGAGACACGGCCCAGACUCCUACGGGAGGCAGCAGUGGGGAAUUUUGGACACUGGGCGCAAGCCUGAUCCAGCAAUGCCGCGUGCAGGAAGAAGGCCUUCGGGUUGUAAACUGCUCUUGUCAGGGAAAAAAUCUUCUGGGUUAAUACCUCGGGAGGAUGACGGUACCUGAAGAAUAAGCACCGGCUAACUACGUGCCAGCCGCCGCGGUAAAAC